UAGGGAAUCUUCGGCAAUGGACGAAAGUCUGACCGAGCAACGCCGCGUGAGUGAAGAAGGUUUUCGGAUCGUAAAACUCUGUUGUUAGAGAAGAACAAGGACGUUAGUAACUGAACGUCCCCUGACGGUAUCUAACCAGAAAGCCACGGCUAACUACGUGCCAGCAGCCGCGGUAAUACGUAGGUGGCAAGCGUUGUCCGGAUUUAUUGGGCGUAAAGCGAGCGCAGGCGGUUUCUUAAGUCUGAUGUGAAAGCCCCCGGCUCAACCGGGGAGGGUCAUUGGAAACUGGGAGACUUGAGUGCAGAAGAGGAGAGUGGAAUUCCAUGUGUAGCAGUGAAAUGCGUAGAUAUAUGGAGGAACACCAGUGGCGAAGGCGGCUCUCUGGUCUGUAACUGACGCUGAGGCUCGAAAGCGUGGGGAGCAAACAGG
rnacentral:rRNA from 2 species